AGCUCCAAUAGCGUAUAUUAAAGUUGUUGCAGUUAAAAAGCUCGUAGUUGAACUUGUGGUCUGAAUGGAUCGGUCCGACGCUCAUGCGUGGGUACCUGAGCCAUUCUACCAUCCUUGGGUGGAACCUGUGUGGCAUUAAGUUGUCGUGCAGGGGAUGCCCAUCGUUUACUGUGAAAAAAUUAGAGUGUUCAAAGCAGGCUUAUGCCGUUGAAUAUAUUAGCAUGGAAUAAUAAGAUAGGACUUUAGUACUAUUUUGUUGGUUUGUGCACUAAAGUAAUGAUUAAUAGGGACAGUUGGGGGUAUUCGUAUUCCAUUGUCAGAGGUGAAAUUCUUGGAUUUCUGGAAGACGAACUACUGCGAAAGCAUUUACCAAGGAUGUUUUCAUUAAUCAAGAACGAAA
rnacentral:rRNA from 1 species